rnacentral:tRNA from 2 species
GGGGGUGUAGCUCAGUGGUAGAGCGCAUGCUUAGCAUGCAUGAGGUCCUGGGUUCAAUCCCCAGUACCUCCA